AUUGAACGCUAGCGGCAGGCCUAACACAUGCAAGUCGAACGAGUGGCGGACGGGUGAGUAAUGUCUGGGAAACUGCCGGAUGGAGUGGGAUAACUACUGGAAACGGUAGCUAAUACCGCAUACCAUCGGAUGUGCCCAGAGUGGAUUGGCUAGUAGGUGGGGUAAAGGCUCACCUAGGAGACGAUCCCUCGCUGGUCUGAGAGGAUGACCAGCCACACUGUAACUUAGCCACGGUCCAGACUCCUACGGGAGGCAGCAGUGGGGAAUAUUGCACAAUGGGCGCAACCCUGAUGCAGCCAUGCCGCGUGUAUGAAGAAGGCCUUCGGGUUGUAAAGUACUUUCUGCGGGGAGGCGUUACCCGCAGAAGAAGCACCGGCUAACUCCGUGCCAGCAGCCGCGGUAAUUC
rnacentral:rRNA from 1 species